CGUACACGAAACCACCCCGUUGCAAACACGAUACACACGUACAGCGAGAGACGACCACCCGGGGCGCGCUCACGAGCGUACCAUCAAUUUUCGUCAUGAUGAGGUUCGAGUCCGUAAUUGGCUUCGCGCUCAUAGUCGCCGGGCUCUGGCCGCUGCACGCGGCCGCGCAGAAGUACGCCGCUAUCUUCAACUUUGGCGACUCCCUCGCCGACGCCGGCAACCUCGUCGUGGAUGGCAUCCCGGAGUACCUCGCCACGGCGCGCCUACCGUAUGGCAUGACGUACUUCGGGUACCCGACGGGGCGCGUCUCCGAUGGCCGCCUCGUCGUCGACUUCAUCGCGCAGGAGCUGGGUCUGCCUCUGCUGCCGCCGUCCAAGGCGCACAACGCGUCGUUCCACCGUGGUGCCAAUUUCGCGAUCACCGGCGGCACGUCGCUGGACACGAGCUUCUUUGAGGCGCGUGGGAUGAGGCACACGGUCUGGAACUCCGGCUCCCUGCACACCCAGCUCAAGUGGUUUCAAGACAUGAAGCCAUCCAUCUGCAACUCGCCAGAAGAGUGCAGGGACCUGUUCCGGCGGUCGCUGUUCAUCGUCGGCGAGUUUGGCGGGAACGAUUACGCGGCGGCGCUCGGCGCGUUCCUCCCGGUUCAGAAGGUGCACACGUUCGUGCCGCACAUCGUCGACUCCAUCGGCAAGGGAAUCGAGAAGCUGAUCGCGGAGGGGGCGGUGGAGCUGGUUGUGCCGGGCGUGCUGCCGAUCGGCUGCUUCCCCGUGUACCUGUCCAUCUUCCUCAAGCAGCAGCCGGAGAUGUACGGCCCACGCAGCGGCUGCAUCAAGGACCUUAACACGCUGUCCUGGGUGCACAACGCCCUGCUGCAGCGGAAGAUCGCCGGGCUCCGGAAGAAACACCCCGGCGUGCGCAUCAUGUACGCGGACUACUACACCGCCGUCACGCAGUUCGUCCUGCACGCCGAGAAGUGGGGUGAGUUUUUGGAAUGCGUGCAGCUCAUUUAGUCUAUGCUGUGCUGUUCCUUGUUACUUUUCAUCAUGAGAAAUGGUCAUGCAUGAUUUAGCAAAGUCGUUCUUGAUGAUGUCGCUAACUUUUGUUGAAAUGUUCCUACAUCUAAAUGCAAGAAACAGAGUAGAAAUUGUGCCAACUCGCUAUCAAGGUUGGAAGCAAAGAACAAUUCAAUGACCGGAUGCGAUGUUUGUAAACUUAUGUAUCUACAUCAUCGCUACAUUUUCUACAUGAUGACAGACUACUUAGUUUUUCCCUGAAAGCAUGAUGUCAAUAGUUGACCAGGAGCUAAUUUUUUUAAAUAAUACAUUUUUUUAUUAAUUUACAAAAAUAUUACGCUGAUAUAAUAUUUUUCGAAAAUAUUAUCCAAUCAGCCCACAGCUGGCCGACUGCUCCUAGUCAGCCAGCUGCAAGCCGACAGGGCCUUCUCGGCCAACUGCAGGCCGACAGAGAGGCAAUCGGCCACGCGUGGGCCGACUAUUGGCCCGGCCAGGUCGCCCCGGGAGCUGUCGGCGCGGGCGCACUCACGGGCGCCCCAGUCGGCCAGCUGCCGACCGAUCGGCCAGCGGCAGGCCGACAGGGAGCGGGCCCGCAGCGCAGCCUCUUUUUCUUUCCCUUCUCCUUCUCUUUUCCUUCCCCACCUCACGCACAGCACAACGUUCUCUGUUCUUCUUCCUUCCUCCUCUCUCCAACCCGAAAUAGCUCCAAUUAAUACACCAAAAUGACCCGUUUUUUUGCGGAUUUGGCACCGUGAAUGGGUUCUACUUAGCUAGAGGAGCCAAAAGACACCUCGAUCUACUGAUGGGGUAGCUUGUGGUGGUUGUGCUGAAGAUUUUGUUGGAGCAUUUUUUCAGCUCAUUUGUGGAGGUUGUGGAGGCAGAGGUGGAGGUUGUGGCGGUGGUGGAGGUGGAGGUGGUGGUGGAGGUGAAGCUGCAGGAGUUUGGUGGAGUUUCCGGCUCCGGUUCCAGUGAUUGAAGGCCGCCGUUCGUCGUUCGCGCGCACGCUUCAAGGGUGAGCCAAGAUGUCUGAUGUAGUGAACAUCAGAUUUUACUACGGUCCUGGUACUGUCCAAACAACUGAGAUGGGAGCUGAUCUGAGUGAAUUUACUCACAUAGAUGUGCCAAUGAGCGCACCUCAAACAUGGUCUGUCAGUCAGUUGAAAGAAUGGAUUGCGGCAAGUUUAGGUCUUGAUACUGAAACACACACCGUCGGUGUUCAUGCAUUGUGGACACGGUCAAGUACAAUAAUUUACUUUUAUUUGAGGCCAAUAGAGCGAGACUCCGAUUGGGUGCGGUGGUUACAAGGUUGUAAACGAAGGGGAUGCAAUCCUAUUGCUUUAGUGCUUCCCGUCGUGAAGGGGGUCACUGCACAUGAAGGCCAAGGUGGCAACGAUCCUGGGCAGAGCAGUGUAGGUAGGCGGCUAUCUAUGUCAAAUGCUGGAGAUGAUGGUUACGAACAAAGACAGAGCAGUCAGGUAGAAGGAGGAAAUGCUUAUGGUUAUGAACCAGGGCAGAAUAGUCAGGUAGAAGGGGGAAAUGCCAAUGGUGAAUACAAUGGCGAGGUUGACGCUGACGAGGUAGAUGGGCACAUGCAGGACUAGAUGGAAGAAGAAGACACUGAUGUUGAAAGGGGUUAUGCCGAUGAUUCUGGUGAGUCAGAUGAAGAAGAAAAUGCAGCGGAGGUCCCGAAUCCUGCAUGGUGGAAUCAUGACUUCUCAUCUGCAAUGACCGUGAAUGAUGGACAUGAUUCAGCCAGCAGGAGCCUAUGGAUAUCAUGCGUCUAUGUCGGCAUCACAUGAUACGUGGAGGAGUGAUCAUCAUCCCGAGGAUCACAUACAGGCUCCGAUGUCGCAGCACACCCACUGGAUGAACAUGUUUUCGACUCCUCCACCAGGCCCCACACAGGAUACACAGCAUGACCAGGAAGAGUCUGAGAUUGCACCGUGUCCCAUUAGGGCACCUGACAGAUGGGGAUGGACGCCGAUUCCAGAUCCGCCUCCCCUCGAGGCCAGACGUCGUCACUGACGCUUCUAUCUAUCAGUACAGACAUUACCAUCUAUUUAUGUAUGAGACUUAUGUCUAUUCUAUGUAUGAGACAAAUGACUAUGUACUUAUGUAUGAGACAUAUGCCUACUCUAUUUUAGUACUA